rnacentral:rRNA from 1 species
AGCAGCCGCGGUAAUUCCAGCUCCAAUAGCGUAUAUUAAAGUUGUUGCAGUUAAAAAGCUCGUAGUUGAAUUUCGGGGUUAGCAGAUCGGUCGUGCCACUGGUAUGUACUGGUCUUACUGAUUCCUCCUUCCUGAUGAACCGUAAUGCCAUUAAUUUGGUGUUGCGGGGAAACUGGACUGUUACUUUGAAAAAAUUAGAGUGUUUAAAGCAGGCUAACGCUUGAAUACAUUAGCAUGGAAUAAUGAAAUAGGACGUUCGAUCCUAUUUUGUUGGUUUCUAGGAUUGACGUAAUGAUUAAUAGGGAUAGUUGGGGGCAUUAGUAUUCAAUUGUCAGAGGUGAAAUUCUUGGAUUUAUUGAAGACUAACUACUGCGAAAGCAUUUGCCAAGGAUGUUUUCAUUAAUCAAGAACGAAAGUUAGGGGAUCGAAGACGAUCAGAUACCGUCGUAG